rnacentral:rRNA from 1 species
AUUGAACGCUGGCGGCAGGCCUAACACAUGCAAGUCGAACGGUAGCACAGAGAGCUUGCUCUCGGGUGACGAGUGGCGGACGGGUGAGUAAUGUCUGGGAAACUGCCUGAUGGAGGGGGAUAACUACUGGAAACGGUAGCUAAUACCGCAUAACGUCGCAAGACCAAAGAGGGGGACCUUCGGGCCUCUUGCCAUCAGAUGUGCCCAGAUGGGAUUAGCUUGUAGGCGGGGUAAUGGCCCACCUAGGCGACGAUCCCUAGCUGGUCUGAGAGGAUGACCAGCCACACUGGAACUGAGACACGGUCCAGACUCCUACGGGAGGCAGCAGUGGGGAAUAUUGCACAAUGGGCGCAAGCCUGAUGCAGCCAUGCCGCGUGUGUGAAGAAGGCCUUCGGGUUGUAAAGCACUUUCAGCGGGGAGGAAGGCGGUACGGUUAAUAACCGUGCCGAUUGACGUUACCCGCAGAAGAAGGACCGGCUAACUCCGUGCCAGCCGCCGCGGUAA